GACGAACGCUGGCGGCGUGCUUAACACAUGCAAGUCGAUCGGAAAGGCCCUGCUUGCAGGGUACUCGAGUGGCGAACGGGUGAGUAACACGUGGGUGAUCUGCCCUGCACUUCGGGAUAAGCCUGGGAAACUGGGUCUAAUACCGGAUAGGAGCCAUUUUUAGUGUGAUGGUUGGAAAGUUUUUUCGGUGUAGGAUGAGCUCGCGGCCUAUCAGCUUGUUGGUGGGGUAAUGGCCUACCAAGGCGGCGACGGGUAGCCGGCCUGAGAGGGUGGACGGCCACAUUGGGACUGAGAUACGGCCCAGACUCCUACGGGAGGCAGCAGUGGGGAAGAUUGCACAAUGGGCGCAAGCCUGAUGCAGCGACGCCGCGUGGGGGAUGACGGCCUUCGGGUUGUAAACUCCUUUCGCUAGGGACGAAGCUUUUUGUGACGGUACCUAGAUAAGAAGCACCGGCUAACUACGUG
rnacentral:rRNA from 1 species